GACGAACCGUGCGAACGUUAUUCGGAAUCACUGGGCUUAAAGCGCGUGUAGGCGGGAGGGCACGUCCGUCGCUGAAAUCCCCCGGCUCAACCGGGGAACGGGCGCGGAUACGACCUUCCUUGAGGGGCGUAGGGGGACCUGGAACUUCCGGUGGAGCGGUGAAAUGCGUUGAGAUCGGAAGGAACGCCCGUGGCGAAGGCGAGGUCCUGGACGCCUACUGACGCUGAGACGCGAAAGCCAGGGGAGCGAACGGG
rnacentral:rRNA from 1 species